GGCCGGUUAACUCAGUCGGUUAGAGCGUGGCGCUAAUAACGCCACGGUCGCGGGUUCGAUCCCCGUAUGGGCCA
rfam:Opisthocomus hoazin contig52118, whole genome shotgun sequence.